UACGUAGGGUGCGAGCGUUAAUCGGAAUUACUGGGCGUAAAGCGUGCGCAGGCGGUUUGUUAAGUCUGUUGUGAAAUCCCCGAGCUCAACUUGGGAAUUGCAAUGGAUACUGGCAGGCUGGAGUAUGGUAGAGGAAGGUGGAAUUCCCAGUGUAGCAGUGAAAUGCGUAGAGAUCGGGAGGAACACCAGUGGCGAAGGCGGCCUUCUGGACCAAUACUGACGCUCAUGCACGAAAGCGUGGGGAGCAAACAGG
rnacentral:rRNA from 1 species